AUCAGUGUAUCUACUUUAACUUGGAGCUCAGGCAAGCAAGUGCUAAAUUCACACUACCCUGUCUCUGCCAAGGUGAUGGGGGACAAGACGCCUUGUAACUUUGAAGAAGAGAUGUACACACCCCUGUGUCUCCCACAUAAACGGACUCAAGAGCUGCAACAGUGCAUAUGAUCCCUUCUUUCCACUGUUGAUAGUUGAAAGCAGCCGUUUCCAGCUUCUUGCCGGCGAUCACUCUGCUAAAAAUAGCUUUGAUGCUGUCACAUGCAAACUUGAACAGAACCUGAAAGCAGUUCCCCUUUUAGUUCUGAGCUGGUUCAACUUUAAAAGAGAGGCAGCUGUUAACACACUCCAGCGUGUUUACACGAUGCUGAAGUAGUUCAGCUCGUAGUAAAAAUACCACUGAAAAGGCACAGGCUUGGGUUUGCAGCCUCUGCUGACGACAUUUCUUCCUGCUGAGCUGGAGCCCGGGGAGGGGCGGUAAGGUUAGCAGGGAAAAUCCAAAAUGUCCAGUUUGAAGGGGAAAGAGGCUGCGGUGAAGACAGGAGAGAGAUGUUUGUUGAGACGUGAGAUUUCUGACUAUGGUAGAGGCGGGGCAGGAGAUCAUAUAGAAAAAA